GUGCCAGCAGCCGCGGUAAUACGUAGGUGGCAAGCGUUAUCCGGAUUUACUGGGCGUAAAGAGUGCGUAGGCGGUUCUUCAAGUCGGAUGUGAAAUCUCCCGGCUUAACCGGGAGGGGUCAUUCGAAACUGUUGGACUAGAGGACAGCAGGGGGAGGUGGAAUUCCCGGUGUAGUGGUGAAAUGCGUAGAUAUCGGGAGGAACACCAGUGGCGAAGGCGGCCUCCUGGGCUGUCUCUGACGCUGAGGCUCGAAAGUGUGGGGAGCGAACAGGAUUAGAUACCCUGGUAGUCCACACUGUAAACAAUGGACACUAGGUAUGGGGAGUAUCGACCCUUUCUGUGCCGAAGCUAACGCUUUAAGUGUCCCGCCUGGGGACUACGGCCGCAAGGCUAAAACUUAAAUGAAUUGGCGGGG
rnacentral:rRNA from 1 species